CGAGAGAGCCGGGAGGGGCUAAGAACUGCUAACUCUUUAGCACCAUGGUUCAACUCCAUGGAUCCCUUA
rnacentral:tRNA from 1 species